rnacentral:rRNA from 1 species
UACGUAGGGGGCUAGCGUUGUCCGGAAUCAUUGGGCGUAAAGCGCGUGUAGGCGGUCCGGUAAGUCCGCUGUGAAAGUCGGGGGCUCAACCCUCGGAUGCCGGUGGAUACUGUCGGGCUCGAGUACGGAAGAGGCGAGUGGAAUUCCUGGUGUAGCGGUGAAAUGCGUAGAUAUCGUGAGGAAGACCAGUUGCGAAGGCGGAUCUCUGGGCAGUUCCUGACACUGAGGCACGAAGGCCAGGGGAGCAAACGGG